rnacentral:tRNA from 1 species
GGGGAUAUAGCUCAGCUGGGAGAGCGCCUGCCUUGCCGCAGGAGGUCAGCGGUUCGAUCCCGCUUAUCUCCACCA